UACGUGGGGGGCAAGCGUUGUCCGGAUUUAUUGGGCGUAAAGAGCGUGUAGGCGGCCUGAAAGGUCAGCUGUGAAAACUCGAGGCUCAACCUCGAGACGUCGGUUGAAACCAUCUGGCUAGAGUCCGGAAGAGGAGUGUGGAAUUCCCGGUGUAGCGGUGAAAUGCGCAGAUAUCGGGAAGAACACCCGUGGCGAAGGCGGCACUCUGGGACGGUACUGACGCUGAGAGACGAAAGCUAGGGGAGCGAAUGGG
rnacentral:rRNA from 1 species